rnacentral:rRNA from 1 species
GACAGAGGCCUCAAGCGUUAGGCGGAAUCACUGGGCUUAAAGCGUGUGUAGGCGGAUCGUUAAGUGUCUUGUGAAAUCCCACGGCUCACCCGUGGAACGGCUGGGCAUACUGGCGAUCUUGGGCCAACUAGGGGCAACUGGAACAAGCGGUGGAGCGGUGAAAUGCGUAGAUAUCUGGAGGAACACCGGUGGCGAAGGCGGCAUCCUGGACCGACACUGACGCUGAGGAGCGAAAGCCAGGGGAGCAAACGGG